GACGAACGCUGGCGGCGUGCCUAAUACAUGCAAGUCGAACGAGAGCGACCGGUGCUUGCACUGGUCAAUCUAGUGGCGAACGGGUGAGUAACACGUGGGUAACCUGCUCAUCAGAGGGGGAUAACAUCCGGAAACGGAUGCUAAAACCGCAUAGGUCUUCGAGCCGCAUGGCUUGAAGAGGAAAAGAGGCGCAAGCUUCUGCUGAUGGAUGGACCCGCGGUGCAUUAGCUAGUUGGUGAGGCAACGGCUCACCAAGGCCGUGAUGCAUAGCCGACCUGAGAGGGUGAUCGGCCACAUUGGGACUGAGACACGGCCCAAACUCCUACGGGAGGCAGCAGUAGGGAAUCUUCCGCAAUGGACGCAAGUCUGACGGAGCAACGCCGCGUGAGUGAAGAAGGUUUUCGGAUCGUAAAACUCUGUUGUUAGAGAAGAACAAGUGCUAGAGUAACUGUUAGCGCCUUGACGGUAUCUAACCAGAAAGCCACGGCUAACUACGUG
rnacentral:rRNA from 1 species